rnacentral:rRNA from 1 species
CGAGCGAGCGGUUUCAAUGAAGUUUUCGGAUGGAUUUGAAAUUGACUUAGCGGCGGACGGGUGAGUAACGCGUGGGUAACCUGCCUUACACUGGGGGAUAACAGUUAGAAAUGACUGCUAAUACCGCAUAAGCGCACAGGGCCGCAUGGUCUGGUGUGAAAAACUCCGGUGGUGUAAGAUGGACCCGCGUCUGAUUAGGUAGUUGGUGGGGUAACGGCCCACCAAGCCGACGAUCAGUAGCCGACCUGAGAGGGUGACCGGCCACAUUGGGACUGAGACACGGCCCAAACUCCUACGGGAGGCAGCAGUAGGGAAUAUUGGACAAUGGGCGAAAGCCUGAUCCAGCGACGCCGCGUGAGUGAAGAAGUAUUUCGGUAUGUAAAGCUCUAUCAGCAGGGAAGAAAAUGACGGUACCUGACUAAGAAGCCCCGGCUAACUACGUGCCAGCAGCCGCGGUAAUACGUAGGGGGCAAGCGUUAUCCGGAUUUACUGGGUGU